UGAGUACGAGAUGCUACGGCAUCGAAGCAGUCUAUGUCAUACUUCCAAGAAAAGCUUGCAAUGUCAUAAACAAAUAAUGCCUGUACCGUAACCGACACAGGUGGGUCGGUAGAGUAUACUAAGGGGCGCAAGAUAACUCUCUCUAAGGAACUCGGCAAAAUGACUCCGUAACUUCGGGAGAAGGAGUGCCUUAUUUUUAUAAGGUUGCAAUAACAAGAUCCAAGCAACUGUUUACCAAAAACACAGGUCUCCGCUAAGUCGUAAGACGAUGUAUGGGGGCUGACGCCUGCCCAGUGCCAGAAGGUUAAAGAAGUUGGUUAGCAUUAGCGAAGCUGAUAACUGAAGCCCUGGUGAACGGCGGCCGUAACGAUAACGGUCCUAAGGUAGCGAAAUUCCUUGUCGGGUAAGUUCCGACCCGCACGAAAGGCGUAAUGAUUUGGAUACUGUCUCGGAGAGGGGCUCGGUGAAAUAGACUUGUCUGUGAAGAUGCGGACUACCUGCACCUGGACAGAAAGACCCUAUGAAGCUUUACUGUAACUUGAGAUUGAAAUUGGACUUUAUCUGCGCAGUAUAGGUGGGAGACGUUGAAAAUAUUCUUGCGGGAAUAUUGGAGUCAUCAGUGAGAUACCACUCUUAUAAUGUUAGAUUUCUAACUUUGUAUCAUUAUCUGGUCAAAGAACAGUUUCAGGCGGGCAGUUUGACUGGGGCGGUCGCCUCCCAAACGGUAACGGAGGCGCACAAAGGUUUCCUCUGAACGUGUAGAAAUCGUAUCUAGAGUGUAAAGGCAUAAGGAAGCUUGACUGUGAGACCUACAAGUCGAGCAGGGACGAAAGUCGGUCUUAGUGAUCUGACGGUGCUGAGUGGAAAGGCCGUCACUCAACGGAUAAAAGUUACUCUAAGGAUAACAGGCUGAUCUCCCCCAAGAGUUCACAUCGACGGGGAGGUUUGGCACCUCGAUGUCGGCUCAUCGCAUCCUGGGGCGGUAGUACGUCCCAAGGGUUGGGCUGUUCGCCCAUGAAAGCGGUACGCGAGCUGGGUUCAGAACGUCGUGAGACAGUUCGGUCCAUAUCCGGUGUAGGCGUUAGAAUAUUGAGAGGAGCCUUCUUUAGUACGAGAGGACCGAGAAGGACAUACCUCUGGUGUACCAGUUAUCGUGCCAACGGUAAACGCUGGGUAGCCAUGUAUGGAGAGGAUAACCGCUGAAAGCAUCUAAGUGGGAAGCCCAUCUCAAGAUAAGUAUUCC
rnacentral:rRNA from 1 species